UACGGAGGGAGCAAGCGUUACUCGGAAUUAUUGGGCGUAAAGGGCGCGUAGGCGAUUUGAAAAGUCUCGUGUGAAAGCCCCGAGCUUAACUCGGGAAGUGCACAAGAAACUGUUGAAUUUGAGUUCCGGAGAGGAAGGCAGAAUUCCCGGUGUAGCGGUGAAAUGCGUAGAUAUCGGGAGGAAUACCAGUGGCGAAGGCGGCCUUCUGGACGGAUACUGACGCUGAGGCGCGAAAGCCAGGGGAGCAAACGGG
rnacentral:rRNA from 1 species